CCUACCUUAUAGACAGGGACAACUAUUGGAAACGAUAGCUAAUACCUGAUAAGAAAGAAACUCGCAUGAGAGAAGUUCGAAAGUCGGAGCAAUCUGACACUAUAAGAUGGCUUUGCGGUGCAUUAGCUAGUUGGUAGGGUAAAAGCCUACCAAGGCGACGAUGCAUAGCCGACCUGAGAGGGUGAUCGGCCACAUUGGGACUGAGACACGGCCCAGACUCCUACGGGAGGCAGCAGCG
rnacentral:rRNA from 1 species